rnacentral:rRNA from 1 species
AGUGAACGCUGGCGGUAGGCCUAACACAUGCAAGUCGAACGGCAGCACAGGAGAGCUUGCUCUCUGGGUGGCGAGUGGCGGACGGGUGAGGAAUACAUCGGAAUCUACUCUGUCGUGGGGGAUAACGUAGGGAAACUUACGCUAAUACCGCAUACGACCUACGGGUGAAAGCAGGGGACCUUCGGGCCUUGCGCGAUUGAAUGAGCCGAUGUCGGAUUAGCUAGUUGGCGGGGUAAAGGCCCACCAAGGGGACGAUCCGUAGCUGGUCUGAGAGGAUGAUCAGCCACACUGGAACUGAGACACGGUCCAGACUCCUACGGGAGGCAGCAGUGGGGAAUAUUGGACAAUGGGCGAAAGCCUGAUCCAGCCAUACCGCGUGGGUGAAGAAGGCCUUCGGGUUGUAAAGCCCUUUUGUUGGGAAAGAAAUCCAGCUGGCUAAUACCCGGUUGGGAUGACGGUACCCAAAGAAUAAGCACCGGCUAACUUCGUGCCAGCCGCCGCAGUAA